AGAAAAGUAAGCUAAAUCUCAAGCUAAUGGGUUCAUACCCCAUAAAUAGAGUAUGACACUCUCUUCUCUA
rnacentral:tRNA from 1 species